UGGGGGGUCGUCUAAGGGCAGGACAGGGGCCUUUGGAGCCUCUAGUGGGGGUUCGAAUCCUCCCCCCCCAGCCA
rnacentral:tRNA from 1 species